rnacentral:lncRNA from 1 species
CUAAGUUGUUCAAUAUCUUUACGUUUUUAUUUUUUCCAGUGUUGAUGACAGGCCCCUGGGCCUUUACACUGAGCGGCAUCCCCAGUUUGCCCCAUCCCCUGCCUUUGUAUAUUUUGUUUUUCAGGCAGUGUCUCAUCACAUUGCUAAAUUGCCCAGUUCUGGCUCAAACUUGUGAUCCUCCUGUCUCAGCCUCCCAGAAUGCUAGGAUUACAGACAUGCACCACCACACCUGGCACAUUGACUGUUUACGUGAUCCUUUCCAGACAGCUUUGACAAACUUCAGCUGGUGGCUCUGUGCAGGUGGAGGCCAUAGGAGAGAUUCUUAUAGGAAGUGCUGCUUAUGAUGAACCUUAACAGGA